rnacentral:rRNA from 1 species
UACGGGGGGAGCAAGCGUUGUUCGGAUUUACUGGGCGUAAAGGGCGCGUAGGCGGUCAGCACAAGUCAGUUGUGAAAUCUCCGGGCUUAACUCGGAAAGGUCAACUGAUACUGUGCGACUAGAGUGCAGAAGGGGCAACUGGAAUUCUCGGUGUAGCGGUGAAAUGCGUAGAUAUCUGGAGGAACACCGGUGGCGAAGGCGGCAUCCUGGACCGACACUGACGCUGAGGCGCGAAAGCUAGGGGAGCAAACGGG